rnacentral:pre_miRNA from 1 species
AUAACAUUCGGACCGUCGGUUUACCGAGCAAUUUCGUCCGCUCAGUGGAAAAUCCCGCUUUUGUCGU